rnacentral:lncRNA from 1 species
UUUAUGGUAAAUGCUUAAGAUGAUUGUUUUGCGUACACAAGAAUUUAAAGUUGGGGGUUUUAUUUCAUGCACCUAUUUUGCAUCAUGUUUUUGGCGUGUAAGACUUCAAAAGACUACUAAUGCAACAUUAAAAAUAAAGAAUGAGUAUAUCAAUUUUCUCACAAAUGUAUUCAAAUUCAAAUGGAGAUUUCAUUUCAAGUUGCAAUUUUUCUAAGGUAGAUUGCUGCCUUUAAAAUUCACUUUAAUAGUGUUGUCUUAUUUUUAUUUAUGUAUAGAGCAAUCUCAUUUCAUAAUUAGUUGUAGUUUUGUAACCAACAACACAACUGAGCUUUUUUGAAGAAUACAUUCAAGAUUCAAUGCUCUCUUAUCUGCUCUGAUUUGACUAUGGUGUACAAGUUUGUUUUGAUAGUCAAAUAAUUUCAUGACUUCCAUGCACAUCUUUAUAGUUGAUUGAAAUGACAAACUUUGAAUUCUCAACUCCAUGGGAUCUCUAUGUGCUUGUGUUGCAUUAAUGGUUCUUUAGAUUAUUUUUAUUUUUAUUUUCAAACAAGAUAGAAAAAAUAAUGUUUUA